rnacentral:ncRNA from 2 species
CACAGUUCACCGGGGUGUCCGCGCGUAAAGGCGGGCUGAGACGAGGGUCUAGUCCUUCAAACCCGUCGAACCUGAUCCGGGUCAUGCCGGCGAAGGGAGAUGACACGCUGUGCGUC